rnacentral:tRNA from 1 species
AUGGAUUUAAACCCCAUUUAUAAAGAUUCAACUUUUUUUAGAA